GCCUGCUGACAUGUGAGGUACACAGCCCUAAAAACACACUAUUAUCUCUCACUUCUCACUCUCACCUACCCAGAUCACACUCUCACUCUCACUCUCACUUACACCUAAACAUACAAACCCCAAACCCUCACACCAUCGGCGGCAGAAAACCCGUUGGCGUCAGAAGACUUUCGUCGGCGGCGACCUCUCAGCUCUCUCACUGUCUUAAGAGACUGAAACGACGUCGUUGUGAUCUGUUUCGCGUAUCGAUGAUGGUCGGGGGAGUGGAAUCGUGGUCUCCGUCGCCGUCGCCGCCUGAGGGAAGAGGGGAAGGGAAAGCGGUGGUUGUUGGAGAAGCGAUGGUAAUGGACUUUCCGUUGGAUGACAGUGGUGCGACGGCGUUUUCGUCCUCCUCUUCUUCUUCGCCCUUUCUCCACCCAAAUUGCCUCGCAGGCUUCGCCGGAGACUCUCGGAGUCUAAGUCCCCGCAGAACUGUACUGUCGAAGAUAUCGAAGCGAAGCUCCGCCACGCCGAUCUUCGCCGCCAGGUUGAAAUUGGUUCCAUAAGUUCAGACAUAAAAGUCCUCCAAGAGAAGUCUAUGGAUAUGGGCCUGAAGCUUAAGAAUCGUAAGAAUCAAAAUUGGCAAAGUUUGUCGAAGACAUUAUAGUCCCUCCAAGGAUGGUUGACAUAGUCGUUGACGGAGAGGUAUUUCUAAUUUUUGUAGAGCCUGCGUUUUUACUGUUACUGUCAUAAUUGCUAUUAUUACAUGUUUCUCGUAGCUUUCAAACUUGCUCACAGAUGGUCUUGGCUUACAAACUUGCUCAUUGAUGUCCUCAUCCAAAAAGUUGUUUUUGUUUACCCUUCGUUUACAUGUCCGUUACUUAAAAAGAAGAAGAAGAGUUUCAGUGAUUUACCCAUCCAAUGAGAUUAUCAGGACUUUGGUUAUUCUUUAAUGUUUGGGAUUUGAAUUAUGAGAAAAGCAUUGAUACAUUAAUCUGAGAGAGGUCUAUUUGUGCUUCAUUUAUUUUGGUUUACAGUUGCCUUAAUUAAGAAGGCUCCUUUUUUAAUAUUUUGCUACAAGCUUUACCCUUUUGCCUUGAUACCAAUCACAUCAAGCCUUGGAUGGCAGAAUGGGAUUUACAUAUGCUCUUUUAUGCUUGAUUUAUAUCAUUGUUAUGUCCUUGUAAGGCUUGCUAGGUUGGUUUGAGGGAGAACUUAAUGUGUGGAAAAAUGUGUUUACUUGAAAUGAUUAACUGUUGCUCAUGUUCUCUCUCGCCCCUCCCUUAUUGUAUUAGUGAUUCAAUCAUUGCAUGAUGGGUUACUUAUCGAAAAAAAAAAAAAAAACAUUGCAUGAUGGGGUUAUUGUGGAUUGAUUGUGGAAAGAUCUGGUCAUCUGCUUCAUUUGCUGCCCAUCUUUUUUUUAUUAAAUUGCAACUUAGAGUAGCACUUUCUAGAUGUUUUAUGCUUAUAUACAUGAUUUAGGCUCUUCUGAUAUUCACAUUAUAGGUUAAAGUUGAUUUGUUAAUAUGCAGGACAUAUCUAUAACACAAUUGAGCUACAACAUACGUCCUUGAAUGUGCAUGGUGUACAGUCCAUGUUGCUUCCUGGUUAACAUAGUGAUUUGGGAGAUUUUUGUGUUCCGUUUCUUUUAUUGCUGUUAACAUACUUGCAGUGGAAUUUGUCCAGAUCAAUGAUGAAUACAUGAGAACUCUUGAGAUUCUGAGUAAGAAGCUGAAGUUUGUAGAAGUGGAUCCUAUGGUCAAAGCUUCAAAAGCUCUGAAAGACGUUCAACCUGAGCUUGAAAAAGUUAGGCAGAACAAUCUGCAAAGGUGGUUGACUUCAUUGUUCAUAAGCUUUAUGCAUUGAGAAAACCCAAAACAAAUAUCCAGAUCCUUCCAGAUCCUUCAUUGUUCAAUAGGUCUAAUGGGACAUUAGAAUUUUAUAUGGUUUUAUCAUAUUUACUUUCAGCACUUAUCAAAAAAAAAAAAAAAAAAAAAAAUCAUAUUUACUUUCAUCCUUUUUUUUUUUUUUUUGGGUUUUUGUUCUUCCUCCCUGUGUUGCUAUUUAUAUGGAUGAUUUGUUAAUUGAUGUGAGUGCUGCUUGAUUUUUCCUUUCUUUCUAAAGGAGAUGGUGAUGGGUUGAUUUGAUCUUUCCAUGGUCUGAUAUCUA